rnacentral:rRNA from 1 species
UACGUAGGGGGCAAGCGUUGUCCGGAUUCAUUGGGCGUAAAGAGCGUGUAGGCGGCCAGGUAGGUCGGUUGUGAAAACUGGAGGCUCAACCUUCAGACGUCGACCGAAACCAUCUGGCUAGAGUCCGGGAGAGGAGAACGGAAUUCCUGGUGUAGCGGUGAAAUGCGCAGAUAUCAGGAGGAACACCGGUGGCGAAGGCGGUUCUCUGGGCAUGUCCUGACGCUGAGGAGCGAAAGUGUGGGGAGCGAACAGG